AGCCUUCUUAACUCAAUUGGUAGAGUAUCGGUCUUGUAAACCGAAAGUUAGCGGUUCGACUCCGCUAGAAGGCUA
rnacentral:tRNA from 2 species